rnacentral:tRNA from 1 species
GGAGGGAUUCCCGAGUGGCCAAAGGGGGCAGACUGUAAAUCUGUUGGCUCAGCCUUCGAAGGUUCGAAUCCUUCUCCCUCCA